rnacentral:misc_RNA from 1 species
ACCCUGACCAAAACAGACCGCGCACCCGUCAUCCAGCCUGCCGGCGGUGGCACUGUUCGUCGCUCGGCCAAGUCCUCGAUAACCUCCUCUUCUCGGAGUGGGGGCUCGGGGUAAAAGAACCCACGACGCCUAAGGCGUCAAGGAACACUAUGCCUAGCUCGGGGACGCGGACGGCUUGCUGGCCGCCCCCCGUGCUGCAAUGCUAUUUAAUCCACACGACUCUCGGCAACGGAUAUCUCGGCUCUCGCAUCGAUGAAGAACGUAGCGAAAUGCGAUACCUGGUGUGAAUUGCAGAAUCCCGCGAACCAUCGAGUCUUUGAACGCAAGUUGCGCCCGAGGCCAUUCGGCCGAGGGCACGCCUGCCUGGGCGUCACGCAAAACACGCUCCCACCCCCUCAUCAGGGAGCGGGACGCGGCAUGUGGCCCCCCGUCGCGCAAGGGGCGGUGGGCCGAAGAUAUGGCUGCCGGCGUAUCGUGCUGGACACAGCGUGUGGUGGGCGACCUCGCUUUACUUCCGCAGUGCAUCCAGCGCGUAGCCGACGUGAUGGCCUCGAAGGACCCUAUGAACGGUGCGCACAACGCUCCGACC